AGCGAACGCUGGCGGUAGGCUUAACACAUGCAAGUCGAACGGCAGCACCGUAAGAGCUUGCUCUUAUGGGUGGCGAGUGGCGGACGGGAGAGGAAUAUAACCGAAUCUACUUUUUCGUGGGGGAUAACGUAGGGAAACCUAAGAUCAUAUCGCAUAUGCCCUACGGGUGAAAGCAGGGGAUAUUUGGAGCUUGCGCGAAUGAAUGAGCCGAUGUCGGAGUUGUUAGUUGGCGGGGUAAAGACCAACCAAGGCGACGAUCCGUAGCUGGUCUGGGAGGAGGGUCGGCGACACUGGAGGUGGGACACGGUCCAGACUCCUGCGGGAGGCAGCAGUGUGGUAUAUUGGGCAGUGGGGGCGAGCCUUGUCCAGCCAUACCACGUGGGAGGAGGAGGCCUUCGGUUUGUAAAGCCGUUUUGUUGGGAAAGAAAAGCAGCAGGUUAAUACCCCGCUGUACUGACGGUACCCAGUGAAUAAGCACCGGCUAACUUCGUG
rnacentral:rRNA from 1 species